AUUGAACGCUGGCGGCAGGCCUAACACAUGCAAGUCGAGCGGAGCGGCGGACGGGUGCGGAAUGCCUAGGAAUGGGCCUGGUAGUGGUGGAUAACGUCCGGAAACGGGCGCUAAUACCGCAUACUAGCAGCUGAGCCUAGGUCGGAUUGGCUAGUGGGUGGGGUAAAGGCCUACCAAGGCGACGAUCCGUAACUGGUCUGAGAGGAUGAUCAGUCAAACUGGAACUGAGACACGGGCCAGACUCCUACGGGAGGCAGCAGUGGGGAAUAUUGGACAAUGGGCGAAAGCCUGAUCCAGCCAUGCCGCGUGUGUGAAGAAGGGCUUCGGAUUGUAAAGCACUUUCAGUUGGGAGGCGUUACCAACAGAAUAAGCACCGGCUAACUUCGUGCCAGCAGCCGCGGUAAUAC
rnacentral:rRNA from 1 species